UACCAGCACCCCGAGUGGUCGGGACGAUUAUUGGGCCUAAAGCAUCCGUAGCCGGUUCUGCAAGUCCCCCGUUAAAUCCAGCUGCUCAACAGAUGGGCCGCGGGGGAUACUACAGAGCUAGGAGGCAGGAGAGGCAAGCGGUACUCAGUGGGUAGGGGUAAAAUCCGUUGAUCCAUUGAAGACCACCAGUGGCGAAGGCGGCUUGCCAGAAUGCGCUCGACGGUGAGGGAUGAAAGCUGGGGGAGCAAACCGG
rnacentral:rRNA from 1 species